rnacentral:rRNA from 1 species
AACGAACGCUGGCGGCAUGCCUAACACAUGCAAGUCGAACGAGACCUUCGGGUCUAGUGGCGCACGGGUGCGUAACGCGUGGGAACCUGCCCUUAGGUUCGGAAUAACUCCCCGAAAGGGGUGCUAAUACCGGAUAAUGUCUUCGGACCAAAGAUUUAUCGCCUUUGGAUGGGCCCGCGUUGGAUUAGCUAGUUGGUAGGGUAAAAGCCUACCAAGGCGACGAUCCAUAGCUGGUCUGAGAGGAUGAUCAGCCACACUGGGACUGAGACACGGCCCAGACUCCUACGGGAGGCAGCAGUGGGGAAUAUUGGACACUGGGCGAAAGCCUGAUCCAGCCAUGCCGCGUGAGAGAUGAAGGCCUUAGGGUUGUAAUGCUCUUUUACCCGGGAUGAUAAUGACAGUACCGGGAGAAUAAGCUCCGGCUAACUCCGUG